UGGUUCUGGCAACGAUGAAGAACGCAGCGAAAUGCGAUAAGUAAUGUGAAUUGCAGAAUUCCGUGAAUCAUCGAAUCUUUGAACGCACAUUGCGCCCACCAGUACUCUGGUGGGCAUGCCUGUCCGAGCGUCAUUUCGACCCUCGAGCUCCCCUUUUUGUGGUGGCUCGGUGCUGGGACACUACAGCGUUCGCGCGCUGUAGGUCCCGAAACAUAGUGGCGGCCUCGCCGAGACCCCGAGCGCAGUAAACCGUGCUUUAGCACAGCGCCUCGUUCAGGGUGUCCGGCGGGUGCCCCGGCCGUAAAACCCCCCAAUUUACCAAAGGUUGACCUCGGAUCAGGUAGGAAUACCCGCUGA
rnacentral:misc_RNA from 1 species